rnacentral:lncRNA from 1 species
AUGUUAAAGCUUGCUGAAACUGCUACACGAGAAUCAGCUGAACUAGAAAAAGAAGCAGACGAAUUAGAAAUGAAAAUUAAUUAUUUAAAAAAGACAUUUGAGGAAACCGCGGAAAAACAAAAUAAUUCAGGAAUGAUUGAAGGAAAAAAUCUGAAAAGUCUGGAGAAACCGAAGGAAUUUAAAGAAAGGGUAUUUGAAGAGAGUGAACAUCCUUCUUUGUUACAUGAGAAACAUCAACUGUGCAAACCAUUGCAGCUCCCAUGCAUUCCUCGGAAAUCAGUCCAGUCUUUACAGACUACCAGAUUCUCUAUGCAGCGAACAGAAACAGGGAGAGAAGAAAAAGAAGAUCCUAUGGAACAAUCCAUCUCUACUAGCAGUUCUUCCAGCCAUGCAGAAAAUCCAUCACAGAUGGUUAGUGGCUCUGCUGUGACUGCUAAUCUGCAAGUUGCCCAAGUUCCAUCAAUAGCAAGUUUUCAAAGCCAAACACAGUUCAGGUAA